rnacentral:misc_RNA from 1 species
UCCAGUAUAUCACUGGCAGUCCUCUUAGAGUCCCCGGCAUUACCCGCUGGCAACUAAGAGCGGGGGUUGCGCUCGUUGCGGCACUUAAGCCAACACCUCACGGCACAAGCUGACGACAGCCAUGCAGCACCUGUGCUAGCCCCUUACGGACACGGGCUUUCACCCGCUUUAACUAGCAUGUCAAACCCAGGUAAGGUUCUUCGCGUUGCAUCGAAUUAAGCAACACGCUCCGCUGCUUGUGCGGGCCCCCGUCAAUUCCUUUGAGUUUUAGCCUUGCGGCCGUACUCCCCAGGCGGGGCACUUAAUGCGUUAGCGACGGCGCGGAUCUCGUUGGUUGAGACCCACACCUAGUGCCCAACGUUUACGGCAUGGACUAC